AGCUUUGCGCAGUGGCAGUAACCAAUGGGGUUUAUCCGAGGUGCGAUCAUCGCUGGUUGGAAACUAUUACCAAUACCGCGCCGCGGUGGCACAAAAACGUCGCUUGUGGCAAUUUCUGAUGGGUUCUGUGGGAU